GGGUGGAUGCCUUGGCGAUUACAGGCGAUGAAGGACGUAGUAGCCUGCGAAAAAGCUACGGGGAGCUGGCAAACGAGCUUUGAUCCGUAGAUAUCCGAAUGGGGAAACCCGGCGCGCAAGCGUCACUCCCACCUGAAUAUAUAGGGUGGGUAGAGCGAACGCAGCGAACUGAAACAUCUAAGUAGCUGCAGGAAAAGAAAUCAACCGAGAUUCCCAAAGUAGUGGCGAGCGAAAUGGGAAGAGCCUGUAUGUGAUAGUCAACUGGUUAGUGGAACGGAAUGGAAAGUCCGGCGAUAGAGGGUGAUAGCCCCGUACACGAAAACUGGUUGGUGGUACUGAGCAUACGACAAGUAGGGCGGGGCACGAGAAACCCUGUCUGAACAUGGGGGGACCGAUCCUCCAAGGCUAAAUACUCGUAAUCGACCGAUAGUGAACCAGUACCGUGAGG
rnacentral:rRNA from 1 species